CAGGAAAGGCUCUGGGGCGGGGCAAGGAGGAGGUUGGUGGUAGCCUGAACAAGAGCUGAUGGAACAAGCAGGACGGUCGGGGCGGCUUGAGGCCUUCCUAUGGGGUCUUCGGGGUCUUCAGAUCCUUCUGCAAUAAGAAUUUUGUUCCCAAAUGCCAAACAAGCCUUGGUGCAGGUAGAAUUCUUCGUGUCUGACCCAGCAUAUACCUCGGAAUGGGGAGCAGGCCCUUUGUGGCCCUGAGCUGUGGGACAAGAGCAAUCUGUGGGCACCCGGGGCAAAGGGUCUCUGUUGCAUUGGUCCAGGAAGCUGGGUUUUGAUUUGAUCCAAUGGAGUCUCCCUAGCUUUCCUAAAGAAAGGUCCCUCUGCUAUUAGAGAGAUUGCCUCUCCUUUCUCAGGGCAGGACCCUCAUUCUCAAAUCAGCAUCCUCACCAAAUGGCGAAGAUCACAACGUUGGAACCAGCUUGGGCUCAGAUCCGGUCUGCUCUUGAUUGUCUGGUGUAUCUAAUAUCUCUGGGCUCCUGUUUCCUGCUCCUAAAGUGGAACCAACAACACUGCUUGACCAGGGCUGUUAGAAGGCCAAGACCACGAAUGAGAAAUGUUGACCACACUGACCACACACAACUGGCGCUGUGCAGCCGGGAGUGCCUCCCUUCUCAGAGCUCUGCCUUCCCCUCUGCAAGGGAUUUUGAUGCUUUUGAACUGUGGUGUUGGAGAAGACUCUUGAAAGUCCCUUGGA